rnacentral:rRNA from 1 species
CGCGUAGGCGGGAACAUAAGUCAGAUGUGAAAUCCUGGAGCUCAACUCCAGAACAGCAUUUGAAACUAUAUUUCUUGAGGGUAGGCGGAGAAAACGGAAUUCCACAUGUAGCGGUGAAAUGCGUAGAUAUGUGGAAGAACAUCGGUGGCGAAGGCGGUUUUCUAGCUUAUUCCUGACGCUGAGGCGCGAAAGCAAGGGAGCAAACA